rnacentral:lncRNA from 1 species
AUGUUUCCCACUCCUGCAUCCACAGCUUUGGUGGAGGGGCCGCUUCGAGCGUCUCGGGCCAGGGACGUGGCGGAGAGUGCGGGGCACGGGAGCGGGCUGCCCACUGAGGAUGGGGACGGGAGGACACGCGACCCCGGCCAACUCUUGAGUUACCUAGGUGAGUUGUGCCUUUUUGUGAAGAUGUUGGCUGGAAGAAAACUGCUAAAAUAUUAUUUCAGAGGUGUGGUUAAUUUGUACUCAUCCACUUGUCUUAGAGGCAAUUCAGAUUUCAUGGCCUUGUUCAGCCAGUAUUGGACAUAUGUGUCAUUUCUUCAUUUCUGUGUCAAGGUGACAAAAGGUAAUAAGAUUUUAAGACUUACUUUAAUAUGUAUAUAUGUAAACUAUUGGAAAAAAACAUACUGGUGUCAAAUACCUACAAAGUUUGUUAGCUGCUCAGUCAUGUCUGACUGUGACCCCAUGGACUGUAGCCCACCAGGCUCCUCUGUCCAUGGAAUUUUCCAGGCAAGAAUAUUGGAUUAGGUUUCCAUUUCCUCCUCCAGAGGAUCUUCCCAACACAGGGAUGGAACCCUGGUUUCCUGCCUAUAAGAAAAGUGGUAAUUUCAAAAGUAUCAGGAGCUACUCAGAUCAGAGGUCUUU